rnacentral:snoRNA from 1 species
CCUUGGUGAUGAUUUGUACAACCGCUUAAACUAGAGUCUUUGAUCUUCUUCAGAAGAGAUGAAACUCCAAAAUUGCACACGUCAGUCUGAAUUGUAUUUGACUA